AAGAUAUAAGUAAAGUAUUACAUAACUUUGUCAGGGUUAAGUCAUGGGUGAGAACCCCGUAUAUCUUU
rnacentral:tRNA from 1 species